CCACGGCUUAAAUUCAGUUUAAAAAAGAGAAUUUAUUGAACAUCUAACACAUACAUAAAAGGCAGUAAAGACAAAUGAGAAGAGGGCAGGAUAUUGAAGUAUACAGACUUUAAUGCUGAGUUUUGUAUCUUAGUAAGUUACUCCACCUUACAGAGGCUCAAUUUCCCCUGAUUUAGGAAGGCGAUGCUAAUGGGUAUUGCCUAGGUGUAAGUAUAAAAAUGUUGUAUUUAAGAGAAUCCCACAAGCUUGGUAUAAGGCAGAAAAUAAAUAGAUGCGACAUGAAUAAGUAGUUUAUUACAUUUGUAUGCUACCUGCAGACUAGAUGAAGCAAGAAACACAGCCACUAUGUUUGAUGACCAUUAUAUUCUAAUUUGGAAUAUAAAUAGAAAAGAGAAAAAUAGAAAGCUAUGCAUAAACACACGCAUUAAAAUGAAUGUUAUGUGGACUCUUUCAGGAAAAUGUUCCUAAGGUAUUUUAUUUUUUUAUUGUGGUAAAAUACACAUAACAUAAAAUGUACUCUGUUAACCAUUUUAAGUGUACAGUUCAGUGGUACUAAAUAUAGUCAUAACAUUGUGCAGCCGUCCCUACCAUCCAUCUCCAUAACUCGUUUCAUCUUGUAGAACUGAAACUGUAUACCCAUUAAACAAUACUUCCCCAUUUCUUCCUCCCCCCAGCUUCUGGCAACCAUCAUUGUACUAUCUCUAUGAUUCUGUCCACUUUAAUACAAAUGGAAUUAUACUGUAUUUGUCCUUCACUGACUAACUUAUUUCACUUGGCAUAAUAUCCUCAAGUUUCAUCCAAGCUGCAACAUAUGUCAGAAUAUUUCCCUCAUGUUUAAGGCUGAAUAAUAUUCCAUUGUGUGUAUAUUUAAUAUUGUACUUAUCCAUUCAUCUGUUGUUGGACACUUCAAUUGCUUCUAAGUUUUAGCUAUUGCCAAUAACGCUGCUGCAAACAUGGAUGUGCAAAUAUUUUUUCAAGACUCUGCUUUCAAUUCUUUUGCUAUCCUGAGAUGUGGCGCUGCUGAAUCAUAUGGCAAUACCAUUUUGAUGUUUUGAGGAACUACCAUACUCUUUUCCACAGCAAACAUAGCGUUUGGCAUUCCCUCCAAUACUGCAAAAGGAAUCGCCACAUCCUUGCCUGUGGUUUUUAUUCACAAAUCCGGUGGCUCUCUCUACAUCCCAGCCACCAUGUGUUAUUUCCUGCUAUGUAUAUGACAUCAAAGGUGCAGGAAGUAAUGAACUAAAUUGGAAGGAUAAACAUGUAGAAAAAUAGAGGUAAAUACUGACUACAUAAAACCAUAAGAAUAAGAAUUUUGGAUGAUCAAUCUAUUAUAUACCUAUUUAUCUAACACCUAUCUGUUCUUCCAUCUGUAAUUAAAAUAUAUUACAGUUAGAGAGCAGAGGAAAAAGUAGGAAUACAUGAAUUUAAAUUUUAAUUCUUCUUAGAUUGUCUCACAGCAUCAUUAUAUGAAAGAAAAUUUAUAGGUCAUUAUCUGUUAACUAUAAAUGUAACAUUCUUAAAGAAUUCAAAUACAUUGAAUUACAGCAUGAAUAAUAUGUUACAAUCCAUUCAAGUUUAUUUUAUUCCAGGAACACAAAAAUACAAAUUUCAUUUGCAAUUCAAAAAAAACAGAAAUUGAUACAUAUGAUUGAUGUAUAUACACAUUUAAUGUAUUUUUAAAUAUACAUUUUUUAAAAAUAGAAAUUUUUCUAGGACAAAUACUUAAAAUAUCACUGAAAAUAGUGUUAUUAGCUAAUACCUUCCUAAUCACUCUGGUAUUACAUAAGAAACCAAAAUUAAAAUUUCAGGUAAACUUAGAAACUAAAAAUUUUAAAAAUAUUAUUCUGUUCUCCAUAUGUUCAUAUUUAGUAUUACUUCUUGUUUUCAUUCUUAUUCAGUGUUGCUCUACAAAAAUAUAACAUACAAUACUAACUUUUGAUUUCUGUUCUUAUUACUCCGAAUUGUAUACAUUUUCUCAUGCUCUUAAUUUAGUUAUGCUACUUUUCUGUACUCUUGGAAUUUUCACAUUUGUGUUCACUCUUUUGAGUUCCCAUAGUAUCAAAUGAGCUUUUUUCCCUCUUUCUGACUUGAAGAUUCAUCUUCUCAUAAUUAUUUUGUCCAUUCAGUUUUUUUCAUUCUCGGUUAAGUGCCUCUCCUCUGGCUUCUUUUCAUUUAUAAGGUUUCCUUUCAUCUUAAGCCAGUCUUUCAUUUAUAUUUUGAUUAUGUUUUGUGGAGGACAUGCUUCCCUGAAUUUUAUGGAAGAGGCCAAAAGGGUUUUUCAAGUUUUUACCUGAUACAUUGGAUUAAAUUAUCUAAUGUACACACUCUUAAUUUAAGUCUAGGGGCGACUGUCUACUCUUGAUUUUGUAUAGUAUUAUUUUUCUUAACAUCCAAGCCCAUCUUCAUCUAUUUGUAUAUGAUCAAUAAAAAUACAUCUGUCCAGAACCCUGCUUUGGUGGAGUUACUUCUUUCUAAGUAGUAGAGGUAGCAGUUGAGACAUGAGCUGGGUUCUGUGUCAGUGUAGAGGGCUGGGCGACAUUCCUCCUUCUGGUCUGUAUGACUGAAUGAAUGCAGUUCUUGCUGUCUCGCUCCUCUCCUUAACACAUUGAGCCAUUGCAGCAGAUGAGAAGGAAUAAUCUUGAUCUGCCAUUCAGGUGGAACACAUGUUCUCUCCAGCCACACCCAUAGGUUGUACUCACACUUGGCCAGAAGGUAUCCUGUCAAUGAUAUGGAGAUGUAUCUAUCUAUCUAGAUAGAUAUCUACUUUGGUUUAUGCUCUUCGGUUGCCCGUAAAUUAUCUCCUUAAAGUGAAUAUCAAAAGAGAGCUUGGUGAUGGCAGUGUUAUAAAAUCCUCAAAAUGCAGCACCCACACCCAGAGGAAUUUGUAGAUUCUGGGAUUCUAAUUCAGAUACCAAAUUAUAUAAAAGGGGAACUGGUCAUUGAGGGUUGCUAGGCUCUUUGUUGAGCAUAUUUGCUCUUUUCAUGACUUUGAAAUUAUUUUAAAAAUCUAACCUUUUUCUCAGUGUGCUGCAAGAUGAUUUGAUUUUAAUGCAUAAGCACUAAUUCUCCCCUAAGUUUUGUACAAUAUAUUUGCUCUGACAAGCCAUAGCCAGCAACUCACUUCACAGCAAUUUAUAGCAUUUCCAAGAUAAGUUGAAUUAUUUUUAACUAGACUCUCUUUGCCUUAAUAAAAAUAUGAAGAAGCAAUAUACUUGUUCUAAUUAGGUUCAAAAGUUGGCAGUCUCUCUCCUGGAAAGAAUAGUAAAACUUUUCAGCGGCCUAAUAUGCAUCUAUAAACACACAAACACACACACACACACACACACACACACACACACGCAAGCACUAUUCAUAAUAUUUAAAGCACAUUCUGUUCUAUGACUUCAUUUGUCUAGCACAAAAUAAAACGAUCUCAGCAUAUGUCAAGUACCAAUUUUUUCGUAUGGCCAAUUAUAGGUAUUUUAUUUUUUAAAGAUUAGAGUGUUCUUGAAGCUCUUUAUUUUUGUCAAUGAACUAAACAUUGGCAAAUAUGUAGGGUUUCCCACAUAAGAACAUUAUUAACAUCAAAAUAGAAAGCUGGUGGUAGCAAUAAUGAUUGAGAACACAGAGUCUCUACUCAACGUUCUAGUUCUGCCAUACCAUAACUUUGUGAUCUCAGGAAAUCUCUCUCCAUGUUAUCAUCUCUAUGUAUAGUUCUGUCAUUUUUCAAUAAGUGCUUUUGGCUUAAUUAUGAAGUACUAGUUACUAUAACCAUUAUUUUGAGUUUCAUGUAAAUCAAGAACACAUGGACUCCACUUGCAAAACAUUGAAAAUGUAGUUAGGGAUUGGGGGCAUAAAGCAACAUUUUAAAAUGUGUAAAGACAAUGAGUAAGCAACAAAGUGUCCAAUUUUUUAGGGGAAAGUUGCAUACGUUAGGAAAAGGCAGGAUUAAGUAACAGAGAAUUUGAAUGAUAACUGGCCAAUUGGUGUCAUUUACAAUUGCAAGUCAUACAAAUGAAGUUUCCUUUUUUAAAGAGGAAAGGAGUUAUUUAGAAUGGGUCAACCUAUUGGGGAAGCAAUGUAGUUAGAGACAAUGCCCAAAACCAUGUGAGCCAAUGCUCUGUAGAGCAUACCCCUGCAAUGCUGCCAUUGUGAGGCCAAGUCUCUCCUUGUCUUGGUACUGAGCCCUCCAUUCUGCCUCCAUCAUUGCCACUGUAGCUGCCACAAAAUGAUCCCUCAACCACCGCUGCCCAGGAACAAAGAAAGAUUUCUGUCUUUCCGCGCUCUCAGAUCAAUUUCCAACAUCAGGUGAGCCUUUGAUGGGCACUAUUCAGUUCCCAUAUCCUAGAUUCAAACUCGAUUCCACUAUUUUCAGAAAUCACACUCUGAGACAAGUCCUUUUUUAAUCUAACUAUGUUUCUGCCUAUACUAAAAGACAGAUAUGUCAAUUUUGCUAAUCAUGCAGUUCCAAACCUCUCCAUCCUGAUUAUUUUUCGGUUUGUUCUAGCAGUCAUUCAGAGACUUACUUACAUUCAAAUUUCUCUCUAGGUUUAACAUUCGUGUAUGUCUUCUUGUGGUUUUGUCUAUUUUUGCUGUAUAUAAUUUAAGACAUUUUAUUGACAUAUAUCAUACAUGCAGAAAAGUACAAUGAUUAAAUAUGGAUAGCUUAAUGAAACACAUGUAUUUGCUUAUAACCAUGUAUGAAAAUAGAACAUUACUAAAAAUAGUGAUACUUCUCCUGCCCCUUUCCAAACACUAACCCUCAUCCUCAAUAGUAACAGAUUUUUUUUAUCAUAAUUUGGUCUACUUUCAAAUUUUUAUUAAAUAAAUCAGAGUAUCUACUCUAAGUCUAAGUUUGUUUCAUUGUUGUUAUUUUACUUAUUUAUCUGCUAAUGGACAUGGUAGAUUAAAGAUGGCUAAAUACACAUUUUUUAAAUUAACAGAUUUUUUGAGCACUUUGUGGCUCAUGCCUCUAAUCCCAUCACUUUGGGAGGCUGAGGUGCGUGGAUCAUGAGGUCAGGAGAUCGAGACCAUCCUGGCCAACGUGGUAAAACCCCUUCUCUACUAAAAUACAAAAAAUUAGCUGAUAGAUAACAUCAAGAUAACAUCUGGGUUCUUAGCUGCACUGAGUCAAGCCUACUUACAUCUUUGUUUGUCUUCCGCUGCACUUUUCCUUCCACAUCACACUCCAGGAAUGCCAAGCUGUGCUGGUCUUCUACCCCAUUUCCACUAUUUUGCUCCCGCGGAUGCAACUUUUUGCUGCCGCCGCCGCGGGUUUUUGCCUCCGCUGCUUUUUGCCCCCGCCGCCGCGGCUUUCUGCCCCCGGCCCCGCGGAUUUUUGCGCCCGCCGCCACGGCUUUUUGGGGCUCUUUGCCCCCGCCGCCGCGGCUUUUUGCGGCUUUUUGCCCUUGCCACGGUGGCUUUUUGCCCCCGCCCCCGCGCCUUUUUCCUGCCAUGGCUUUUUGCCCCCGCCGCCUUUGCAACCUUAAUUUCAUUUGAAAUCUAAUUUCCCACUGCCAUGCAACCUAACAUAUUUGUAUGUUAGACUCCGGGAAUUAGAACAUGAACAUUUUGGGGAGGCCAUUAUUUUGUCUACAGCAGACGUAAUCUAUUUACCUGCAGAUUAAAAUGUUCUUUAUUUUUCUGCCUCCCUCUCUUAAUUUUUUUUAAAUAAUAUGAAUUGUAGUAAAGAGAAAGAAAAGAAAGAAAAAAGAAGGAAAGAAAGAAAGAAAAGGAGGAAAUGAGAGGGAGGGAGGAAGGAAGAAAGGCAGGAAGGGAGAAAAAGAAAGCAAGAACUCAAGAAAGAAAGAGAGAAAGAAAGUGAGAAAGGAAGGAGGAAGGGAGGAAGGAAAGGAGGAAGAGAGAAUGGUAAAAGGGAGGAAGGCAAAGAAACAAAGAAAAACAGAAGGAAAAAAGGAAGGGAGGGAGGAAGGAAGAAAAGUAGGGAGGAAGGGAGAAAAAAAGGAAAGAAAGUGCGAAAGAAAGAAUAAGAGAAAAGAAGGAAGAAAAGAAGGGAGGGAGAAAGGAAGGGAGGGAGGAGGGAAGGAAGAAUAAGGGGAAGGAAGGAGAAAAAAAGAAAGGAAAAGAAAGAAAAAGGAAAAGGAAGGAAGUAGGCAAGGGAAGAGAAGAGAAAGGAAGAUGGAAAGAAGGAAGGAAGACCGCAAAUAUUAGAAAUUCUGGGUUUGUUGGAGAAUAUGCCAUACUGUUUUUUUUUUCACUUGAAAGAGUAUCUGCCAUUGAAGAUUGGAUAUCUUGUUGGUAAUGUUGUUGUUCUUAUCUUCCAUAUGAUUACUGAGUUUGUGCCUAGUCUGUCCAUUACUAAGACAAAAGUGUUGAAGUCUGCAAAUAUAAUUUUGGAUUUUUCUAGUUCACCUUUGAUUUCUUUCCUGUUUUACCUCAUGUAUUUGGAGGAUCUAUUGUUAGCUGCAUACCCUAAUUAGUAGGAUGUUUACAUCUUCUUGAGAAUUAUUAUAUUAUCUAUUAUCUCUCAUUUCUGAUACUAUUUCUUGUUCUGAACUCUGUUGUGUCUAAUAUCAAUGUAGUCCUUCCACAGCUUUAUUUUAGUGUUUCCAUGAUAUGGCUUUCUCCAUAUCUUGAUGAUAACCUAUUUAUAUCUCUAUAUAUUUGGAGCAAGAUAUAAAAUUUAGAGUUGAUUUUUUAAAGAUUUUUCAAGAUUUAAUUCUUAUUUAUUUUUGUUCUAUUUGACAUUCUCUGAGUUUCCUAUAUCUGAAGUUUGAUUUUCUGUCACUUCUUUUAGAAUAUUUUUGGCAGUUAUUUUGAAAAAUAUUUCUUUUGCUCCAUUAUUUUUUCCUCUUUUCUUUUUGGGAUUUCAAUUAUAACUAGGGUAGGUAAUUUCAUCUCAGUCUUAUGCAGGUACUUUUUCUCAGGGUCUCAGGAAUGUAGCCUUCUCACACUUCUGUUCUUUUCCUGGCUGUGUUGGUGAGCUCAGUGAUAUUCCUCCUUCACCUUCAAGAGCAGUUUUGUUUUGUUUUUCCUGUUUUCAUACUUCCAGCAUCAGGAGUAUUCUAAGUGUGGCAGUUUUUGUUGCCUUCCCCUACAUAUUAAGUGGAAUAUCUUGGUCUAUUUGGACUCUUAUAACAAAAUAACAUAAACCGGGUGACUAAAAAACAACAGAUAUUUCUUUUUUCACACUUCUUGAGGCUGUAAGAUCUCAGGUCAAGAUGCUCACAAAUUCAGUGUUGAUGAGAGCCCAUUUCAUGGUUCAUAGAUGGUGUCUUCUUUCUAUGUCCUCACAUAGUGGAAGGCACACAAGAAUUCCAUUGAGCUUCUUUUAUAAAGGCACUAAUCCCAUUCAUAAGGGCUCAGCCCCCAAGACCUGGUCACCUCCCAAGUGUUCUGCUCUCCCUGAUCUGUAUCAUAUACAGACUCUCUUGGAUUCCUUACCAAUUGCUUGAGAGAUCACAGUGGGUUUGUGGGGAAAAAGUUUUCAAGAUGAUGGAUCUUUCCCAACUUCUGCAGCUGUCAGCAGUCUCCCAAUCUGAGCAGCCCCACUUUGUCUUUAGGAAUUUAUUGAUUAUUCCAGCUUAACUUGUCAUAGUGGUGUCUAUUUGCAUCUGUCCUAUGUAAGUGCAUCUGUCCUCUUUCUCCUUGCAGGUGCAAGUA
rnacentral:lncRNA from 10 species